rnacentral:tRNA from 1 species
GCUUAGCUCAAUUGGUAGAGCGCUCCACCUGUAAUGGAGAGGUCCCGGGUUCGAUACCCGGACCAGGCG